rnacentral:rRNA from 1 species
CACGUAGGGCGCAAGCGUUGUCCGGAAUUAUUGGGCGUAAAGAGCUCGUAGGCGGUCUGUUGCGUCCGCUGUGAAAACUCGGGGCUUAACCCCGAGCCUGCAGUGGAUACGGGCAGACUAGAGGUAGGUAGGGGAGAAUGGAAUUCCCGGUGUAGCGGUGAAAUGCGCAGAUAUCGGGAGGAACACCGGUGGCGAAGGCGGUUCUCUGGGCCUGCACUGACGCUCGUGCACGAAAGCGUGGGGAGCAAACAGG